GAGGUCAGGCGGAGGCUCUGCCGCUGCGGCCGCAGCAGCUCAGCUCCCAUUCCCAGGCAGCUUGGAACAGGGACUUUGGCAAAUAACUGGAGCGGCGUUCGGGUUAGGGUAAGCAAUCUCCCACUGCCUGAAGACUGGGCCAAGUGGCUAGGGUGUCCAGGGGAGCAGUGGUGCGGGCGCCCGUGCCUCGCAGCAGGAGGGGACCCGGGCUGCGCUGCGCGCCUCCCUCUUUGGCCUCUGAGCGCAGCUGCUCUCGGAGGAGCGGCUGGGUGCAGGGAAUCGGCAAACAAGGUGAGGCAGGAUCCUGAAGUCACGGGGGCUCCACGAUCUUCCCCGCCUUCUGCGCGAUUAGGAGUUGGGAUCUGCACCAAAACGGCGAGGCGGGGAACCCGCUUCGCUCUUUGCCUACCGGGCUUCUCUCCACGCUUUGCACUUGCAGGUCCCUUUGGCUCCACCAGAAGCUUGGGUACCUCUAGGCUCUUAGUCAGAACUCCGUUUUCCUGUGCUUCUUUGUCAUCCCUCCAAGAUCUUCUCUGGGUUUCCCUCUCGCUUCCCUGA
rnacentral:lncRNA from 1 species